GACGAACGCUGGCGGCGUGCUUAACACAUGCAAGUCGAACGAAGUGGCGAACGGGUGAGUAACGCGUAAUCAACCUGCCCUUCAGAGGGGGACAACAGUUGGAAACGACUGCUAAUACCGCAUACUGAAGGAGGGGAUUGCGUCUGAUUAGCUAGUUGGAGGGGUAAAGGCCCACCAAGGCGAUGAUCUGUAGCCGGUCUGAGAGGAUGAACGGCCACAUUGGGACUGAGACACGGCCCAGACGCCUACGGGAGGCAGCAGUGGGGAAUCUUCCGCAAUGGAGGAAAGUCUGACGGAGCAACGCCGCGUGAGUGAUGACGGCCUUCGGGUUGUAAAGCUCUGUUAAUCGGGACGCGGUACCGGAAUAGAAAGCCACGGCUAACUACGUGCCAGCAGCCGCGGUAAUUC
rnacentral:rRNA from 1 species